UGCGAUGAAUCGAUACAUCGACACACUUAUGCUGGCACGCUAGCAAAACAAAGCUGGCAAAUUGAUUUCCAGUUUUCUAUUGCAAUUUUUAAUCAAAAAGUAAUGUGCACUGGAUCGCCCAGCAGCAAUGGCUCGCAAGCUGAAGAGAGCAGUGAAAAUGAUAACCAACAAGAACAGCGCUCAUCUACGGAACAAGAGCCAGAACAGAUUCAGAGCACUGCAAUCGUAUCGAGCACUCCCGAAGAAGUGCUCGCCGAUUAUGGUGAAAAUAUAAAACUGCUUACAUUAAACUCCCAAGUUGCCGAGCUGCUCACUAUUAUACGCGACAAAAAUACUACGCGAAGCGACUUCAAAUUUUAUGCAGACCGGCUAAUACGGCUCGUCAUUGAGGAAUCCCUCAAUCAGUUGCCCUACACGGAUUGCGAUGUCGAAACUCCAACGGGUGCCAUCUAUGAGGGUCUGAAAUAUCGCUCCGGCAACUGUGGUGUGUCCAUCAUACGCUCCGGCGAGGCCAUGGAGCAAGGAUUACGCGACUGCUGUCGCUCGAUUCGAAUUGGAAAGAUCUUGGUCGAAUCGGAUGCCAAUACACAUGAGGCACGCGUCGUCUAUGCACGUUUUCCCGAUGACAUUGGCAGUCGCCAGGUGCUGCUCAUGUAUCCAAUCAUGUCAACGGGAAAUACUGUACUGAAGGCUGUAAACGUACUGCGAGAGCACGGCGUGCCAGAGAAAUGCAUUAUAUUGUCGAAUCUGUUCUGCACGCCCGCUGCCGCUCGUACCGUGGUUACUGCGUUUCCCAAAAUGAAGAUUCUCACUUCGGAGCUGCAUCCGGUGGCGCCCAACCACUUUGGCCAGAAAUACUUUGGUACUGACUAGACUACGUAGCCACAACAUUAAAAAGAAAGCAGAGGCAGCGACAGCUCCUAGAAUUGACGACUAAGUUCUGCUUAGGAUAGAUGUCAUUUAAAUCGGAUGAGGAGAAGGAUGCGGAGCUCAACUACCAUUGAAAUUAUUAGCCCCAUUUCAUAAUUGGCUUUUGAUAUAAUUCGCAAAUAUGUGAUUUAACUUAUGUAAAUAGAAACAAAAUAAAUAUUACAAAUUUAUCAUA